rnacentral:lncRNA from 1 species
AUAUAUAUAAUGUAUUUUAAUUAUAUAUAGGCUUUAAUUUAAUUUGGACUAUUAUUGUUGGCCCAUAAAAUAAAUCCAACAAGUACAACCGUGCAAUUGAGCCCAACUCUAAAUUUACAUAACACACUCUCUCUUUCAGACUUUCACUGUUGCACAUAACCCUAAACAUGAUAACAUUCAAAUUCUCAAAUUCCUAUUUUUUUUCCCCUCUCUCUCUCUCUCUCUCUCUCUCUCUCGUUCUCCCUUAGACCCUCACCCAAUCAGGCAGUCACCCUAGUUCACAUUUCUUGCAAUUAUUUGGUAUUUUGAACUAUUGGACAUGUUGCAUCAAAUUGUAGGUAAUGUUAAUUAAACUAUUGAUUAUAUAAUGUUGAGAAUUUCAAUUGGCUCGUUUAGAGCUCGAGCUCGGCUCCACUUGAAAUUAGGCUCGCUCGAGCUCGGCUCGAAUUAAUUUCAAGCCGAGCUUGAGCCUAGAUUUAGGCUCGAAAUUAAUUUCAAGCCGAAUUUGAGCUGACAUAAGCUCGCUCGAGCUCGGCUCGUUUCCACCCCUAGCUGCCAGUGUGUAGGGGAGAGUAUACUAGAAGCUUUUCUACGGAUUUCAAGACUAAUGGCGUAGAUGCCAUAGGGUCAAGAGUCUCUUAAAAGUUCUACGAGGACAAUAAUUGUAGUCUUUUGGAAGCUCGUGACCUCCCUCUUUGCCUUGUAGUUAUGCGCCACUUGGUAUCUUCUCAUUUAUAGCUUGUGUGACAAGUGACCUAUAUAGUUAUAACCUCCACUCUCACUUUUUAGAAAAUCAGUUGUAAUCUCUACUUUUAGACUUAGUUUGGUAUUGAGAUCUUUUUGACGCUGUUAAAUAAAAUGGAGUUAGGAAAAAAGCAUGUAAGUAUAUACUUUUGCGUUCUCCGGUGGGACUGCAAAAAAUAUAUCAUAACCGACUCAUCACAAUAUGAGGAACGCAAAAUUACAUACGGAAACAAACAUGAUAUUUUUUCAUCGUACUUUCUCACCGCACGUAACGCAAUCUUUCCGCAAUCCCAAACGAAGCCUUAAUCAAUAUACAAUAUUCCUUAAACUCUCUCUCUCUUGUACUUACUCUCAGGACGAGUAAGUUCCCACAUAAAAAGUUGAGAGAUAGACUUGCUAC